rnacentral:rRNA from 1 species
GCCCAGCUUGCUGGGUGGAUUAGUGGCGAACGGGUGAGUAACACGUGAGUAACCUGCCCCUGACUCUGGGAUAAGCGUUGGAAACGACGUCUAAUACUGGAUAUGACCGCCGAUCGCAUGGUCUGGUGGUGGAAAGAUUUUUUGGUUGGGGAUGGACUCGCGGCCUAUCAGCUUGUUGGUGAGGUAAUGGCUCACCAAGGCGACGACGGGUAGCCGGCCUGAGAGGGUGACCGGCCACACUGGGACUGAGACACGGCCCAGACUCCUACGGGAGGCAGCAGUGGGGAAUAUUGCACAAUGGGCGAAAGCCUGAUGCAGCAACGCCGCGUGAGGGAUGACGGCCUUCGGGUUGUAAACCUCUUUUAGUAGGGAAGAAGCGUAAGUGACGGUACCUGCAGAAAAAGCACCGGCUAACUACGUGCCAGCAGCCGCGGUAAUACGUAGGGUGCAAGCGUUGUCCGGAAUUAUUGGGCGUAAAGAGCUCGUAGGCGGUUUGUCGCGUCUGCUGUGAAAUCCCGAGGCUCAACCUCGGGCUUGCAGUGGGUACGGGCAGACUAGAGUGCGGUAGGGGAGAUUGGAAUUCCUGGUGUAGCGGUGGAAUGCGCAGAUAUCAGGAGGAACACCGAUGGCGAAGGCAGAUCUCUGGGCCGUAACUGACGCUGAGGAGCGAAAGCGUGGGGAGCGAACAGGAUUAGAUACCCUGGUAGUCCACGCCGUAAACGUUGGGCGCUAGAUGUA